UACGCAGGGUGCAGGCGUUUAUCGGAAUUACUGGGCGUAAAGCGUGCGCAGGCGGUCUGCUAAGUCAGGUGUGAAAUCCCCGGGCUUAACCUGGGAACUGCGCUUGUUACUGGCAGGCUGGAGUGUGGCAGAGGGGGGUGGAAUUCCACGUGUAGCAGUGAAAUGCGUAGAGAUGUGGAGGAACACCGAUGGCGAAGGCAGGUCUCUGGGCAUUAACUGACGCUGAGGAGCGAAAGCAUGGUGAGCGAACAGG
rnacentral:rRNA from 1 species